UACGUAGGGGGCAAGCGUUGUCCGGAUUUAUUGGGCGUAAAGAGCUCGUAGGCGGUUUGGUAAGUCUGGUGUGAAAUCUCCACGCUCAACGUGGAGGGGCCACCCGAUACUGCCAUGACUGGAGUCCGGUAGAGGAGUGUGGAAUUCCCGGUGUAGUGGUGAAAUGCGUAGAUAUUGGGAAGAACACCGGUGGCGAAAGCGCUCUGCUGGACCUGCACUGACACUGAGGGACGAAAGCUAGGGGAGCGAAAGGG
rnacentral:rRNA from 1 species